UCACUGACUGCAAGGGACACAUUGAUUUGCAUGUCGGUAGAAUCCUAAGUGGCAGCUACACACGGUGUCCUGCUUCUCCUUACCUGAGAAAAGAGAGAAGGACUGAGGAGCCACACACAGUGUCCUUGUCUGCUCGGCAAGGAGAAAUCUCCACCUGGAACAUUUCUGAAGAGGGAAGGAAAUGGUCAUGAGUCAGUCUCUCAUCCCUUUUCCCAUACAGAUCCUGACUCCCUCUCUUCACCAUGUGCCUUGACCUCUUCUCUGUAACAUAAACACUCCUGUGCACACAGACCCAGGCUGGCGUGCGCACGCAUGCUCCCACCAUACCCACGAGCAGACUCAGCUCCCAACCCCUUGCAAACAUCCAUGUGCACACAUGCGUGUUCCCAAGCCUUCUCAGCCGUGCUCCCUCUCGAGCCCUUGCCCACUCCCAAAGCUUGCCUUCCCGACAUGUCUUGCAGCUGAGGCACUGUCUGAUGUGGUUCUCGGAAGCAGUAAAGGUGCCAUUGUCACACUU